rnacentral:rRNA from 1 species
GACGAACGCUGGCGGCGUGCCUAAUACAUGCAAGUAGAACGCUGAAGGGGGAGCUUGCUUCUCUGGAUGAGUUGCGAACGGGUGAGUAACGCGUAGGUAACCUGCCUGGUAGUGGGGGAUAACUAUUGGAAACGAUAGCUAAUACCGCAUAAUAGCAGUUGUUGCAUGAUAACUGUUUGAAAGGUGCAAUUGCACCGCUACCAGAUGGACCUGCGUUGUAUUAGCUAGUUGGUGGGGUAACGGCUCACCAAGGCGACGAUACAUAGCCGACCUGAGAGGGUGAUCGGCCACACUGGGACUGAGACACGGCCCAGACUCCUACGGGAGGCAGCAGUAGGGAAUCUUCGGCAAUGGACGGAAGUCUGACCGAGCAACGCCGCGUGAGUGAAGAAGGUUUUCGGAUCGUAAAGCUCUGUUGUAAGAGAAGAACGAGUGUGAGAGUGGAAAGUUCACACUGUGACGGUAUCUUACCAGAAAGGGACGGCUAACUACGUG